AUUGAACGCUGGCGGCAUGCCUUACACAUGCAAGUCGAACGGCAGCACGGGAGCAAUCCUGGUGGCGAGUGGCGAACGGGUGAGUAAUAUAUCGGAACGUGCCCAGUCGUGGGGGAUAACGUAGCGAAAGCUACGCUAAUACCGCAUACGAUCUAUGGAUGAAAGCGGGGGAUCGCAAGACCUCGCGCGAUUGGAGCGGCCGAUAUCAGAUUAGGUAGUUGGUGAGGUAAAGGCUCACCAAGCCGACGAUCUGUAGCUGGUCUGAGAGGACGACCAGCCACACUGGGACUGAGACACGGUCCAGACUCCUACGGGAGGCAGCAGUGGGGAAUUUUGGACAAUGGGCGAAAGCCUGAUCCAGCAAUGCCGCGUGAGUGAAGAAGGCCUU
rnacentral:rRNA from 1 species